ACAGAACAAAAAGCGACGACUAGCUCCGGUUCUGGUGAUUCUGACUUGUUAUAACCAAAACAAAACAAAACAAAGGCCUCCCUCCUCCUCCUCCUGUGUUUCAAUGCUCUCACUCGUUCGUAUUUUCCGUUAGAAGCUACGAAAGCUUUUGACUUUUAACCCCUCUCUCUCUCUCUCUCUCACGCGCUCCUUUCUCUACCCACAAAAAAAAAAAAAAAAAUUAAAUUAAAAAUCAAAAGCCAACCAUUUCAAUUUGAGCUGCUGCAGUUGCAGAGAAAGAGAGAGAGAGUUGCAGAGAGACAGAGAAGCAGAGGUCGCUCCACCUGUCGAUCAGAGAGAGCCACGUACCCAUCUUUGAGGCGGCUGCCAUCGCCAUCGACUCUAUUAUCGACCAAUCAAAUCGAAUCAAUCGCCGAUUCGCUGCUGCUGCUGCUCCGACGACGACGAUUCAAAAUUUAACGUCUUUCAGCUCAAGCUUUCUGCUUUCUUGGGUUUUGGUCCAAGGCUCCUUAAGGCUCUAAGCUACCUACCUCGGCUUUUGCUUAUAUUCGCGUCUUCUUGUUUUCGUGGUUUGGAGGCGAAGGAAGGUUUGGGCCUCUCAUUAUCGUCUCAAGUCUCAACCUUUGCUUUGAGAUCAUAAUAUUAUACACGACUAGUGACACAAGAGAAGACAGAACCAAUUAAAUUAGUUGGAUCGAAGAAGAUCAUGGUUAGUGGUACUUUGUUCCAUUGUAGAAAGAAUUCAUGGCCUCCUCAGGAGUAUAUCCCCAGAAACACCUUACAAUUGUUUGAUUUCGAUAGUGCUGCCCCACCAGAACAAGCCUGGAGGAGGAAGUUAAACAGCAAUGCUAAUCUUCUUAAAGAAUUUAGUAUUACAUUUAGGGAAGCAAUAAAGAUGGUUAGGUUAGGUGUACGCUUGUGGUCAUAUGUCAGACAAGAGGCUUCUCAUGGAAGGAAAGCACCUAUUGAUCCUUUCACACGAGGUAUUUGCAAGCCAUCUGCAUCUCAAGGGGUUCCACUCGGAGGGAUGGGAAGUGGCAGCAUCUCAAGAGGUUUUAGAGGCGAGUUCAGGCAAUGGCAAAUCAUUCCGGGUGUAUGUGAUGGUUCUCCUGUCAUGGCCAAUCAAUUCUCUAUCUUUAUAUCUAGAGAUGGAGGGAGUAAAAAUUAUGCAUCAGUCUUGGCCCCAGGUCAACAUGAAGGAUUAGGAAAAGCUGGUGAUCAGGGUAUAUCAUCAUGGGGCUGGAAUUUGGGUGGUCAGCAUUCCACGUACCAUGCUCUAUUUCCAAGGGCAUGGACUGUAUAUGAUGGCGAACCUGAUCCAGAAUUGAAAAUUUCUUGUCGGCAAAUAUCGCCAUUUAUCCCUCAUAACUAUAGAGAUAGUAGUCUUCCUACAGCAGUUUUUGUUUAUACGUUGGUGAAUACUGGAAAAGAAAGAGCAAAAGUCAGCCUACUAUUUACAUGGGCGAAUUCAAUUGGAGGAACGUCACACUUGUCGGGAGACCAUGUCAAUGAACCAUUUAUAGGCGAAGAUGGAGUCUCUGGUGUACUUCUACAUCACAAGACUGCAAAAGGGAGUCCUCCUGUUACUUUUGGAAUAGCUGCAUGUGAAACACAAAAUGUAAGCGUUAGUGUUUUGCCGUCUUUUGGGUUAUCAGAAGGAAGUACUGUUACAGCGAAAGAAAUGUGGGACAAAAUGGUGCAGGAUGGACAAUUUGAUCAUGAGAAUUUCAAUUCGGGGCCAUGCAUGUCUUCAUCACCUGGAGAGACACUUUGUGCUGCAGUUUCAGCUACUGCUUGGGUAGAACCCCAUGGGAAGUGCACUGUUGCAUUUGGUCUAUCGUGGUCAUCCCCGAAAGUAAAGUUUUUGAAGGGAAGCUCAUACCCAAGGAGGUACACAAAAUUCUAUGGGACCUCUGAAAGGGCAGCUCAAGACUUGGUGCAUGAUGCACUAACAAAUUAUAAGCGAUGGGAAGAAGAGAUUGAAAAUUGGCAAAAUCCUAUCCUCAAGGAUGAAAAAUUACCAGAAUGGUACAAGUUCACGUUGUUCAAUGAGCUCUACUUCUUGGUCGCUGGUGGAACAGUCUGGAUUGAUUCUCCCUCACUAGAAACAAACAUCAAGAAGAAUCAAAGUCAAUUAAUAAAUGGUGAGUAUUUAGAUAACAAGGCUUCUGAACCUAAGGUGAAUGGCAAACAAGGCGGAGUGGUCGAGGAUACUGCAACUGGUUGCCAUAGGAGUGCAAUAUCGGACCUACAAAAACACUAUGAAGAUGCUGGGAGGUUUCUUUAUCUGGAAGGAGUUGAAUAUAUCAUGUGGAACACAUAUGACGUGCACUUCUAUGCUUCAUUUGCCCUUCUUGAGCUGUUUCCCAAAAUUGAACUCAAUAUACAAAGGGACUUUGCAAAAGCAGUCUUAUCUGAAGACGGAAGAAAAGUAAAGUUUCUGGCAGAAGGGAAUUGGGGAAUUCGUAAGGUUAGAGGAGCUGUCCCCCAUGAUUUGGGAACACAUGAUCCUUGGAAUGAAAUGAAUGCGUAUAAUAUUCAUGAUACUAGUAAGUGGAAGGAUCUAAACCCGAAGUUUGUACUUCAGGUGUAUAGAGAUUUUGCUGCAACAGGGGAUAUGUCAUUUGGAGUUGAUGUCUGGCCUGCUGUUCGUGCGGCAAUGGUAUACAUGGAACAAUUUGAUAGGGACAAUGAUGGUCUCAUUGAGAAUGAUGGUUUCCCUGACCAGACCUAUGACGCUUGGACAGUUCAUGGAGUGAGUGCUUACUGUGGUUGCUUGUGGCUUGCUGCACUUCAAGCUGCUGCAACAAUGGCCUUUCAACUAGGUGACAAGGCCUUUGCUGAAUGGUGCAAAACCAAAUAUUUGAAGGCCAAACCAGCUUUUGAAGAAAAACUAUGGAAUGGCUCUUAUUUCAAUUAUGAUAGCGGAUCAAGUAGUAACAGUAAAUCCAUACAAGCAGAUCAACUGGCCGGACAGUGGUAUACUGCAUCCUCAGGUUUACCUUCACUUUUUGAUGAUGUUAAAAUCCAAAGUGCUUUGCAGAAAAUCUAUGAUUUUAACGUCAUGAAAGUUAAAGGAGGUAGGAUGGGUGCUGUAAAUGGAAUGCACCCUGAUGGGAGGGUGGAUGAGUCUUGUAUGCAGUCUCGUGAAAUAUGGACUGGUGUCACUUAUGGGGUGGCUGCAACGAUGAUCCUUGCUGGAAAGGAGAAAGAGGCAUUUACCACUGCUGAAGGAAUUUUUACUGCUGGCUGGUCUGAAGAGGGCUACGGAUAUGCGUUUCAGACUCCUGAGGGGUGGACGAUGGAUGGCCACUUCCGAUCUCUGAUAUAUAUGAGGCCACUGUCUAUAUGGAGCAUGCAGUGGGCAUUAUCAAUGCCCAAGGCAAUUCUUGAGGCUCCUAAGGCCAAUAUAAUGGACAGAAUCCAUAUUUCUUCUAUUAGUUCACGAUCCUCCCACAGCGAAACAGGUGUGAAAAAGAUUGCAACCAAGGCAAAGUGCUUCAAUAAUUCUGUGUUCAAUUGUGCAUGCUGAUUGUAAACUUGUCACUUGACUAUAUUGUAAAGUGUAGUAAAUCGCUCCUUGGUUACUUGAACCCUCUUGCAGUGAAGUAAUGAUGCUGGGAGAGGUGUCGGGUAGUCUUCUAGAAAUAGCCAAAAUAGGAUCUGCAAAUAAACAUAAUGAACUUGUUGAUAGCUGAGUAGCCACAACCGAGUAUCUUUUUAACUUGACUCCUGUCGCAUAGUUUGAUUCAAGGGUGCCAAAGCUUCAGAGACUUUCGCAAUAUUCAAUCAGAUGUUGGGAUAUUAUCUGGCAGCGGGGAUCGGAAACUUUUUCAUUCUUGAUUCCCAUGUAGCCUUAACCUUCAUCUGUAUUUCCAUUUUCUUGUGUAUGCAUCAAGGACCACAAAAUGUCACCUUUUAAUAUUGCCUCUCAGCUUCAUACUCCGUGUUAUGCAGUAGUGAUCAUGGCACUCGACAGUGGUCCUUAUCAUUUUGAUUUUUGAACGUUAGUUCUUUAGGAUGUAAGUGGUUGAAAUGGGACAAUCUCAUGCCACUGACCCGUAACCCAUUUCCAAAAGAGUUAUUCCAAGAAAGAAGUCAAAAACAUAUGACUACUUCGUCUUGUUGCUCUACUGAUUUCGACCAUACUUCUACUGUUGUUUUCUUUUUUCCCCUUUCAGCUAAUUGUAGAACUUGAGCCAUAUGACAACUUGUAUCACACCUUUGUAUCUUGCUUUUAUUUAAACAUAACUCUCUUUUUGGCCAAA